rnacentral:lncRNA from 1 species
AUGAGUGUUAAGCCAGAAAUCGCUCCUGCCAGAGCCUUUUCUCCUCUGUUAUCGGCAUGGUCCGUUUGCCGCUCAGUGCGGGAGGUGAACGCGGAUUUUCCUGUUCUGCAUCGGGCUCCGAUGAGCCGGCACAAGCGGUGCGAGGUUGGAGCCACCAGCCCUCGCCGCGGGGUCAGGCGACCAAAGCCCUGCUGCAGCGCUGCCUCCCAGCCAGCUGCUCUUCAGCUCUGCCCGAGACUCGGGAUGCCUUCGGAGCGGGCGCUGAGGUUGUUCCCAAAGCGGCCCUGCUGCCCUUGCCCCGGCCGGCCGGCACGCUCCGGGUUUCCAAAACGCAGACCUGCGGACGGCCCCGCCGUCCCAGCUCAUCCGGCUGCGGGCUCCGACGCUUUUCUUUCUAAGGCAGGCGAGAGGAGCGUCCCAAGACCGGGCGCCCCGGCUGUCGGGAUGCCCCCGUUACAGCCACGUGCUCGCGGCGGCUGCCGGAUGGCCAGUAUUCGGGCAGGGCGUCUGUCCGUCUGUCCGCGUGCAGCGUGCGUAUGCAUGUUGCUAAGUGCGAAGCUGGCGUUUGGCCGCUGGAAACAAGGCCCUUUCGGAGCAGGGAGGGACUUUCUGGUCCCGGCAGAGGGGCGGCUCUUUCCCUGCCCUGCGCUGGCCCUGGGAUUAAGGAGCAGCUGUCGUUGCUCCCUCCCCAUCCAAAGCAGCUCGCUGCAUAUUUGGAAGAAAAUCAAGCGUGCAAUCGGAGCAGCUUGUAAAUGCUUCAGCGCCGCUGGGCUCGGCUCUCAGCUGCGUUUCGUGAGCGCAAAAAGCCCCCGCAGGCAGCCGAGCGGGAGCCCGGGCUCUCGCUGGCGGGAUGCUCUGCUCUGCUCGUCCGGCGCAGCAGGGCUUUGCCAGCCCGUCGGCUCCGAGGCAGCCCCAGUGCCGCGGCCGGGGCUUAAUAUCAUAGCACAGGUGAAUCCGGCUGGGCUCACUGGUUUAACAGCAGCUAGACAGCCUGGUAAACGCCACUUUUUUUUUUUCUUUUUUUUUUUUAAUCAGGUCUAA